AACUUUCAACAAUGGAUCUCUUGGUUCUGGCAUCGAUGAAGAACGCAGCGAAAUGCGAUAAGUAGUGUGAAUUGCAGACUUUAGUGAAUCAUCGAAUCUUUGAACGCACAUUGCGCCCCUUGGUAUUCCAUUGGGCAUGCCUGUUCGAGCGUCAUUU
rnacentral:rRNA from 14 species